rnacentral:rRNA from 1 species
UACGUAGGGGGCAAGCGUUGUCCGGAUUUAUUGGGCGUAAAGAGCGUGUAGGCGGCCUGACAGGUCUGCUGUGAAAACUCGAGGCUCAACCUCGAGACGUCGGCGGAAACCAUCUGGCUAGAGUCCGGAAGAGGAGAGUGGAAUUCCUGGUGUAGCGGUGAAAUGCGCAGAUAUCAGGAAGAACACCCGUGGCGAAGGCGGCUCUCUGGGACGGUACUGACGCUGAGACGCGAAAGCGUGGGGAGCGAACAGG